rnacentral:rRNA from 1 species
AGUGAACGCUGGCGGUAGGCCUAACACAUGCAAGUCGAACGGCAGCACCGUAAGAGCUUGCUCUUACGGGUGGCGAGUGGCGGACGGGUGAGGAAUACAUCGGAAUCUACUUUUUCGUGGGGGAUAACGUAGGGAAACUUACGCUAAUACCUCAUACGACCUACGGGUGAAAGCAGGGGAUCUUCGGACCUUGCGCGAUUGAAUGAGCCGAUGUCGGAUUAGCUAGUUGGCGGGGUAAAGGCCCACCAAGGCGACGAUCCGUAGCUGGUCUGAGAGGAUGAUCAGCCACACUGGAACUGAGACACGGUCCAGACUCCUACGGGAGGCAGCAGUGGGGAAUAUGGGACAAUGGGCGCAAGCCUGAUCCAGCCAUACCGCGUGGGUGAAGAAGGCCUUCGGGUUGUAAAGCCCUUUUGUUGGGAAAGAAAAGCAGCAGGUUAAUACCCAGCUGUUCUGACGGUACCCAAAGAAGAAGCACCGGCUAACUUCGUG